CCCACACUCCUGGUGUUAACUCUGAACCUUCCCAGGAAAGCUGGGAAUAUUUCAGCAGGGCUCAAUGUGCACCCAGAAGCACAUAUUUGCUUAUAAUUUGCAUAUUUGAUUCAAGAAGCUACUUUUACCAGAUCUAUUAAGGAAAACAGAAAUGAGAAAGAAAAGAAAGAAAGAAAAUGGGUGACUCAUGGCAGUCCCUUUGCUGAAACACAGCUGCCCUUGUCCCAGGGACAGGAUUCUUAGAACAUGCAUCUAAAAUUUAUUGCAAAAUAAAACUGGAACUUUUAA